UACUCUCACCCUGUGAACUUACCUAAACGUUGCUUCGGCGGGAAUAGACGGCCCUGUAAAACGGGCCGCCCCCGCCAGAGGACCCUUAACUCUGUUUCUUAUAAUGUUUCUUCUGAGUAAAACAAGCAAAUAAAUUAAAACUUUCAACAACGGAUCUCUUGGCUCUGGCAUCGAUGAAGAACGCAGCGAAAUGCGAUAAGUAAUGUGAAUUGCAGAAUUCAGUGAAUCAUCGAAUCUUUGAACGCACAUUGCGCCCGCCAGUAUUCUGGCGGGCAUGCCUGUUCGAGCGUCAUUACAACCCUCAGGCCCCCGGGCCUGGCGUUGGGGAUCGGCGGAGCGCCCCUCGUGGGCGCACGCCGUCCCCCAAAUACAGUGGCGGUCCCGCCGCAGCUUCCAUCGCGUAGUAGCUAACACCUCGCGACUGGAGAGCGGCGCGGCCACGCCGUAAAACACCCCAACUCUUCUGAAGUUGACCUCGAAUCAGGUAGGAAUACCCGCUGAACUUAAGCAUAUCAAUAAGCGGAGGGAAAAGAAA
rnacentral:rRNA from 1 species